UACGAUCGGACUACGACGGAACGAACGCGUAGGGGAAGUGGAGUUAGGCAUGCAAGUACGAACGAGUAAGUUUCCCGUUUCGGGGAGAGGACAGUGGCGGAACGGGUGAGUAACGCGGUGGGAUCUACCUCGUAAGCGGGGACAACACAGGAACCUGUGCUAAUACCGCAUGUGGCAGUGAUGCUAAAGAUGGCCUCUAUUUAUAAGCUAUCGCUUAGAGAUGAACCUGCGUACUAUUAGCUAGUUGGUGGGGUAAGAGCCUACCAAGGCGAUGAUAGUUAGGCGGCCUUAACGGGUGGCCGCCCACACUGGGAUUGAGAUACGGCCCAGACUCCUACGGGAGGCAGCAGUCGAGAAUAGUCUACAAUGGACGAAAGUCUGAUAGUGCAAUUCCGCGUGGAUGAAGAAGCAUUUCGGUGUGUAAAAUCCUUUUCUCUGUGAGCAAAGAUCAGAAGGUGAACAAUUUUUUGAUUAAGAUAUUAGCAGAGGAAUAAGCCUCGGCUAACUCCGUG
rnacentral:rRNA from 1 species